AGCGAACGCUGGCGGCAGGCCUAACACAUGCAAGUCGAACGAACCCUUCGGGGUUAGUGGCGGACGGGUGAGUAACACGUGGGAACGUGCCUUUAGGUUCGGAAUAACUCAGGGAAACUUGUGCUAAUACCGAAUGUGCCCUUCGGGGGAAAGAUUUAUCGCCUUUAGAGCGGCCCGCGUCUGAUUAGCUAGUUGGUGAGGUAAUGGCUCCCCAAGGCUACGAUCAGUAGCUGGUCUGAGAGGAUGACCAGCCACAUUGGGACUGAGACACGGCCCAAACUCCUACGGGAGGCAGCAGUGGGGAAUCUUGCGCAAUGGGCGAAAGCCUGACGCAGCCAUGCCGCGUGGAUGAUGAAGGUCUUGGGAUUGUAAAAUCCUUUCACCGGUGAAGAUAAUGACUGUAGCCGGAGAAGAAGCCCCGGCUAACUUCGUGCCAGCCGCCGCAGUAAGAC
rnacentral:rRNA from 1 species